GGGGCUGUAGCUCAGCUGGGAGAGCGUACGGCUGGCAGCCGUUAGGUCAGGGGUUCGAUCCCCCUCAGCUCCACCA
rnacentral:tRNA from 1 species